rnacentral:rRNA from 1 species
GACGAACGCUGGCGGCGUGCUUAACACAUGCAAGUCGAACGAAGUGGCGAACGGGUGAGUAACGCGUAAUCAACCUGCCCUUCAGAGGGGGACAACAGUUGGAAACGACUGCUAAUACCGCAUACUGAAGGAGGGGAUUGCGGCUGAUUAGCUCGGUGGAGGGGUAACGGCCCACCAAGGCGAUGAUAAGUAGCCGGUCUGUGAGGAUGAACUGCCCCAGUGGGACUGAGACCCGGCCCAGACUCCGUAGGGAGGCAGCAGGUGGGAAUAUUCGGCAAUGGACGAAAGUCUGACGGAGCAACGCCGCGUGAGUGAUGACGGCCUUCGGGUUGUAAAGCUCUGUUAAUCGGGACGCGGUACCGGAAUAGAAAGCCACGGCUAACUACGUGCCAGCAGCCGCGGUAAUUC